GGUCCGAUGUUCGGCAGGGUCUAAGGCGCUGCACUCAAGUUGCAGUCAAGCAAUUGGCGUGGGUUCGAAUCCCACUCUGUUCA
rnacentral:tRNA from 1 species